rnacentral:rRNA from 1 species
GACGUAGGGCGCGAGCGUUGUCCGGAUUUAUUGGGCGUAAAGAGCGUGUAGGCGGCUUGGAAGGUCAGCUGUGAAAACUCGAGGCUCAACCUCGAGACGUCGGUUGAAACCACCUGGCUAGAGUCCGGAAGAGGAGUGUGGAAUUCCCGGUGUAGCGGUGAAAUGCGCAGAUAUCGGGAAGAACACCCGUGGCGAAGGCGGCACUCUGGGACGGUACUGACGCUGAGACGCGAAAGCGUGGGGAGCGAACAGG